rnacentral:rRNA from 1 species
CUACGGGAGGCUCCAGUGGGGGAUAUUGCGCAAUGGGCGAAAGCCUGAUGCAGCAACGCCGCGUGAAGGAAGACGGUUUUCGGAUUGUAAACUUCUAUCAGCAGGGAAGAAAAUGACUGUACCUGACUAAGAAGCCCCGGCUAACUACGUGCCAGCAGCCGCGGUAAUACGUAGGGGGCAAGCGUUAUCCGGAAUUACUGGGUGUAAAGGGUACGUAGGCGGCUGAUCAAGUCAGAUGUGAAAGCCCGGAGCUCAACUCCGGGACUGCAUUUGAAACUGGUCGGCUAGAGUGCAGGAGAGGAAAGUGGAAUUCCUAGUGUAGCGGUGAAAUGCGUAGAUAUUAGGAAGAACACCAGUGGCGAAGGCGGCUUUCUGGACUGUAACUGACGCUGAGGUACGAAAGCGUGGGGAGCGAACAGGAUUAGAUACCCCCGUAGUC